rnacentral:tRNA from 1 species
GAGGGUAUAGCUCAGUGAUAGAGAGUGCAUGCCUAGCAUGCACAAGGUCUUGGGUUCAACCCCCAGUACCUCCA